CCUACGGGAGGCAGCAGUGGGGAAUAUUGCACAAUGGGCGCAAGCCUGAUGCAGCCAUGCCGCGUGUGUGAAGAAGGCCUUCGGGUUGUAAAGCACUUUCAGCGGGGAGGAAGGCGUUAAGGUUAAUAACCUUGGCGAUUGACGUUACCCGCAGAAGAAGCACCGGCUAACUCCGUGCCAGCAGCCGCGGUAAUACGGAGGGUGCAAGCGUUAAUCGGAAUUACUGGGCGUAAAGCGCACGCAGGCGGUCUGUCAAGUCGGAUGUGAAAUCCCCGGGCUCAACCUGGGAACUGCAUUCGAAACUGGCAGGCUAGAGUCUUGUAGAGGGGGGUAGAAUUCCGGGUGUAGCGGUGAAAUGCGUAGAGAUCUGGAGGAAUACCGGUGGCGAAGGCGGCCCCCUGGACAAAGACUGACGCUCAGGUGCGAAAGCGUGGGGAGCAAACAGGAUUAUACCCCGGUAGUC
rnacentral:rRNA from 1 species